rnacentral:rRNA from 1 species
CUUGACUAAGUAUAAGAGGUCCAGCCUGCCCAGUGAUAAAAUUCAACGGCCGCGGUACCCUAACCGUGCGAAGGUAGCAUAAUCACUUGUUCUCUAAAUAGGGACUAGUAUCAACGGCACCACGAGGGCUGUACUGUCUCCUUUCUCCAAUCAGUGAAACUGAUCUCCCCGUGAAGAAGCGGGGAUUAUUAUAUAAGACGAGAAGACCCCAUGGAGCUUUAAACUCAUCAUUCACUUCCUCACUCCUAUGCCCAACUUAUAUGAGGAAUCUGUAUGAUAGUUUUGGGUUGGGGGGACCACGGAGUACAAUUUAACCUCCAUGACAAAUGGGCCAACGCCCUUAUCUAUGAACUACAACUCUAAGAAUCAUAAGCUGAUGUUCAAUGACCCGAUAUUCGAUCAACGAACCA